AAGACUUGCGCGCUGGCGUGACUCUGUCCUCUCUCUCCGAGGCCGGCCGCGUGGCUGGGAGCCAUGGUGGGUUCUAUCCCGGCCCAGCGCGGCGAGCAGCUUCAGGCCUUUGGCAGGCCGGCCUUUGGCGGGUGCGGAGAUGGAACCAGACCUGCAGGCUGAAGCUUCGAAGUUAAAAACGUCGGCUAUGAACUUGGAAAAAAGUCACAUGAACACUGUCACCCUCAGAUGCUGAGUGUAAGGGUCUUCGUGAUGAGAUUUCUGUCGAUGGGAUGGUCAUAGCCUUGGUUUCUGAGGCUGAAUCGGACCCCGCACCCGCGCCAACCAGCAGUGACCAGCGCCGUGUCAGCCACGAUGUCUGCAGUGAGGCGCAGAGCUGACCUGCUUUGCCUGAAGCAAGAGAAACUGUCCCCGUCCCGUCCUUUGUGAGUUUUCUGCUUCUAGCUUGCAUGUCCCUAAGAAGCCCCACCGGGCUGUGUUCUUAAAAGCAGCUCGGGCCUCACGCGAGGUCCAGUUGAACGGACUCCAGAGGGAACUGUGGACACCCCGCUGAGACCCCAGGCCGGCGCGCCCCUCUGCCGCUCAAAAACCGACGGUGCCCUCCUGUGGCGCCAGACGGGAUCUGCACAGCCUCUGGGCCAAGCGUUCGUGCCUCUAAAGUGGUCCCCCCAAAGGAGAAUUAUCCCAGAGUUCUUUGGACUUCACCUUCAAAAGUAGCCAAAUAGCCCUGGCUGGUGUGGCUCAGUGGAUUGAACACUGGCCUGCAAACCAAAGGGUCGCUGGUUCAAUUCCCAGUCAGGGCACAUGCCUGGGUUGUGGGCCAGGUCCCCAGUAGGGGGCGCAUGAGAGGCAACCACACAA